rnacentral:rRNA from 1 species
GGGAUCAUUAAAGAGUUCUAUAACUCCCAAACCCAUGUGAACAUACCUAACGUUGCCUCGGCAGGUCGCACCUACCUUGUAGCACCCUACCCUGUAGGGCCUACCCGGGAGAUGCGGGUAAGCCUGCCGGCGGCCCACCAAACUCUGUUUGAUAUUGAAUUCUGAACAUAUAACUAAGUAAGUUAAAACUUUCAACAACGGAUCUCUUGGUUCUGGCAUCGAUGAAGAACGCAGCGAAAUGCGAUAAGUAAUGUGAAUUGCAGAAUUCAGUGAAUCAUCGAAUCUUUGAACGCAUAUUGCGCCCAUUAGUAUUCUAGUGGGCAGGACCGUUCGAGCGUCAUUUCGACCCUUAAGCCUUAGUUGCUUAGUGUUGGGAGCCUACGGCAACGUAGCUCCUCAAAGUUAGUGGCGGAGUUGGUUCACACUCUAGACGUAGUAAUUUUUUAUCUCGCCUAUUAGUUGGACUGAUCCCCUGCCGUAAAACCCCCAACUUAUCAAGGUUGACCUCGAAUCGGUUCAGACAAACUCGCUAAAUUGAAGCAUCUUAGUCAGCGAAGGAAAAGAAACCAACAGGGAUUGCCCUAGUAACGGCGAGU